rnacentral:misc_RNA from 1 species
GAUCAUUAAAGAUUAUGAAUGAAUAGAUUACUGGGGGAAUCGUCUGAACAAGGCCUGCGCUUAAUUGCGCGGCCAGUUCUUGAUUCUCUGCUAUCAGUUUUCUAUUUCUCAUCCUAAACACAAUGGAGUUUUUUCUCUAUGAACUACUUCCCUGGAGAGCUCGUCUCUCCAGUGGACAUAAACACAAACAAUAUUUUGUAUUAUGAAAAACUAUUAUACUAUAAAAUUUAAUAUUCAAAACUUUCAACAACGGAUCUCUUGGUUCUCGCAUCGAUGAAGAACGCAGCGAAUUGCGAUAUGUAUUGUGAAUUGCAGAUUUUCGUGAAUCAUCAAAUCUUUGAACGCACAUUGCGCCCUCUGGUAUUCCAGGGGGCAUGCCUGUUUGAGCGUCAUUUCUCUCUCAAACCUUUGGGUUUGGUAGUGAGUGAUACUCGUCUCGGGUUAACUUGAAAGUGGCUAGCCGUUGCCAUCUGCGUGAGCAGGGCUGCGUGUCAAGUCUAUGGACUCGACUCUUGCACAUCUACGUCUUAGGUUUGCGCCAAUUCGUGGUAAGCUUGGGUCAUAGAGACUCAUAGGUGUUAUAAAGACUCGCUGGUGUUUGUCUCCUUGAGGCAUACGGCUUUAACCAAAACUCUCAAAGUUUGACCUCAAAUCAGGUAGGAGUACCCGCUGAACUUAAGCAUAUCA